UGGGAUGUGACUCAGUGGUAGUGUACUUACCUCACAUGCAUGAGGCCCUGAGUUCCAUUCCUAGUAUCACAA
rnacentral:tRNA from 1 species